AACAAGAUCACACCCAGCAUUCAAGCAUUUCACUCAAUUUAGUGAGUUUCGCAGCUAAACUAGUGUUGUAAAAUUUCUAUUCAGAACAAGGAUGCCAAAAGUAAUUCAACAAAGGUAGAUUCAUAUUUUUCUCAUUUUUCCAAGAUUUAUAGUGCAUUUAUUGGCUUAAACCCAAAAUAAAACCUAGAGGAAAAUCUACAACAAUAACAUGUCCAAAACCAUUUUUUUGUAAAAC
rnacentral:lncRNA from 1 species